rnacentral:lncRNA from 1 species
ACCAGGACACCACGCCCCUCGGGCCGGGAGCCGGUUCCGGCUGAGUCGGCAGGGUUGCCGAGCUCUCGCAAUCGCGCUUUACCUGCCCAGGCAAGCCGCGGCAAGAACGCAAGGGGCGCGAAGAUAAACCGACACUUUCCCAACCGCUUCACCACCCCUCAGCGACUUCCGCUUCCGGCGACUCCAUGGGGAAACUGAAGCCCUAGAGGAAAAGAAGACUAAAUGUAUUACCAUCUGACCCACUUCCUGGCCAGCCUGUUCACCUGUCUGCUGUUCUUCAUUGUGGCAGGUGUAUGUGUGAGUUUGCAGCUCAAUCCUGGCCAAGGGGAUCCAAGGACUGCUGAAGAGGCAUGUCUGCACAUGUCACCUAGAACAUCUCCAGCCAUCAUGUGAUCUCUGGGGGAGGCAUUCCCAACUCUCUGAGAGAAGCAGACCAGAAAGAUGGAAAGAAAGCACCUGGCUCCAGGAUGAUGACAUUGAGCCGAUGAAUUAACCACCUUUGUGCUGCUCUAACCUUCAGAGUUCACCUUAACAUGAGAAAAUAAAACCCUUAUUGCUUAGCCA